AACCUGCGGAAAGAUCAUUU
rnacentral:rRNA from 1 species